AACGAACGUUGGCGGCGCGCCUAACACAUGCAAGUCGCACGCGAAAGGGAGCAAUCCCCGGUAGAGUGGCGCACGGGUGAGUAACACGUGGAUAAUCUUCCCUUGAGCGGGGGAUAACCU
rnacentral:rRNA from 1 species